rnacentral:lncRNA from 1 species
UUAUGAUUUACUGAGCAAGUGCACUGCUUUCUAUGACAUAUUAGUACUCAGGUUUGCUCCCUGUUUCUCUUUUAAAGAGGCAAGGAAAUGUGAUGUGUUUGAAUGUGAUACUCAAACCACAGUCUGUGUAGAAGGCCUGUUUCCAGAAUGCCAAUGCAAAAGUGGUUUAGAAAAGACAGAAUGGGAUGAUCGUUCUUGUUCAGCUUGCAGUAAAAGCUGUUCUGCGCAAGCACACAAGUACUGCACAAUAAAAGAAGGGAUCCCAAAAUGCACAUGUAUGACUAACUUUAAAGAGAAAGAUGGAGAAGAUGGAGAAUGCGUACCUUGUCGAGUGGGCUAUUCUGGGGAGAACUGCACUGACAACACUGAACUCAUCCUUAUAAUAGUGGGUACAGUUCUUGGAGCCAUUAUUCUGAGUUUAGUGAUAGCAGUCUCUGUAAUUUCAGCAAGAGCCAAACACAAACAAAAUCCAGAGAAGAAGAGGCUGAUAAAGUCAGGAUAUUCCGACACAGAUCUCUCUGAUGAUAGACCGACCAUAACGUUCCCCAGAGUCCAGACCACUUCUGGCCAUGCAAACCCAGGAUAUCAGCCAAACAACCCAUAUGAGAUACCUUCCACAAAUAAAGGUCAUUUUUUGGAGAGGGAUUAUGAUGAUUUGUACGAACCAUCACAGGAGCGUGGGGGCUUUAGGAUGCAGAGCAGAUACUAAGUGACAAGAGCAGUAGAAGGACCUACGACCACUGCAACACUGGGUCAGACCAAAGAGUUUCACAGCCUCUCACCAAUGCAGUUACUUCAGCAGAGGAGACAACAAAGUCCUUGACUCCAGAUUCUCUCAAGAUUUUCUAAAAGAAGACCCUCGCUUGAAAGAGAUCAUGGACAACUCUGAAAUAAGGGGAAAAUGUAGUAGGGGAUAGGGAAAAGAAGAAGAUAUCUUUUAAAAAAACUAAUGAGCUCCAAUAAACAUUAGACUUCUUUGAGAAGGCCA